rnacentral:rRNA from 1 species
CUGUUUGCUCCCCACGCUUUCGCACCUGUACGUCAGUCUUCGUCCAGGGGGCCGCCUUCGCCACCGGUAUUCCUCCAGAUCUCUACGCAUUUCACCGCUACACCUGGAAUUCUACCCCCCUCUACGAGACUCUAGCCUGCCAGUUUCGAAUGCAGUUCCCAGGUUGAGCCCGGGGAUUUCACAUCCGACUUGACAGACCGCCUGCGUGCGCUUUACGCCCAGUAAUUCCGAUUAACGCUUGCACCCUCCGUAUUACCGCGGCUGCUGGCACGGAGUUAGCCGGUGCUUCUUCUGCGGGUAACGUCAAUGACGACACUUAUUAAGCAUCAUCCCUUCCUCCCCGCUGAAAGUACUUUACAACCCGAAGGCCUUCUUCAUACACGCGGCAUGGCUGCAUCAGGCUUGCGCCCAUUGUGCAAUAUUCCCCACUGCUGCCUCCCGUAGGAGUCUGGACCGUGUCUCAGUUCCAGUGUGGCUGGUCAUCCUCUCAGACCAGCUAGGGAUCGUCGCCUAGGUGAGCCGUUACCCCACCUACUAGCUAAUCCCAUCUGGGUUCAUCCGAUGGUGUGAGGCCCGAAGGUCCCCCACUUUGGUCUUGCGACGUUAUGCGGUAUUAGCCACCGUUUCCAGUGGUUAUCCCCCUCCAUCGGGCAGAUCCCCAGACAUUACUCACCCGUCCGCCACUCGUCACCCAGAGAGCAAGCUCUCCUGUGCUACCGUUCGACUUGCAUGUGUUAGGCCUGCCGCCAGCGUUCAUCUGAGCA